rnacentral:lncRNA from 13 species
AUCUCCUUCAAGCAAUUCUCUCAUCUCAGUCGCCUAAAGUGCUGGGAUUACAGAGACAGGGUUUCACCAUGUUGGCCCAGCUGUUCUUGAACUCCUGACCUCAAAUGAUCUGCCUGCCUCCGCCUCCAAAAGUGUUGGGAUUACAUGCAUGAGCCACCACGCCUGGCUGCCUUCGUCAACACAUCUUUUCUGUGCUACACCCAGCGGUCUCCUGGGAGCGGCACUAUGCACUUCAUUAAUAAGAAGGGAUUAAAGAAAAAAGCCUCAGUCUCCUAA